CUCCUGGAAACGGGUGGUAAUGCCGGAUGUUCCACAUGAGCGCAUGCGAGUGUGGGAAAGGCUUUUUGCGGCAUGGGAUGGGGUCGCGUCCUAUCAGCUUGUUGGUGGGGUAACGGCCUACCAAGGCGUUGACGGGUAGCCGGCCUGAGAGGGCGACCGGCCACAUUGGGACUGAGAUACGGCCCAGACUCCUACGGGAGGCAGCAGUGGGGAAUAUUGCACAAUGGGCGCAAGCCUGAUGCAGCGACGCCGCGUGCGGGAUGGAGGCCUUCGGGUUGUAAACCGCUUUUGUUCAAGGGCAAGGCACGGUUUCGGCCGUGUUGAGUGGAUUGUUCGAAUAAGCACCGGCUAACUACGUGCCAGCAGCCGCGGUAAUACGUAGGGUGCAAGCGUUAUCCGGAUUUAUUGGGCGUAAAGGGCUCGUAGGCGGUUCGUCGCGUCCGGUGUGAAAGCCCAUCGCUUAACGGUGGAUCCGCGCCGGGUACGGGCGGGCUUGAGUGCGGUAGGGGAGACUGGAAUUCCCGGUGUAACGGUGGAAUGUGUAGAUAUCGGGAAGAACACC
rnacentral:rRNA from 1 species